rnacentral:rRNA from 1 species
GCGACCUACCCAUGAGCAGGAUGAAGCGAAAGUAAAAUUUCGUGGAGGUCCGAACCCACGAGCGUUGAAAAGCUCGGGGAUGACUUGUGGGUAGCGGUGAAAUUCCAAUCGAGCCCGGAGAUAGCUGGUUCUCCCCGAAAUAGCUUUAGGGCUAGCCUCAAGGUGAGAGAUACGGAGGUAGAGCACUGAAUGUCCUAGGGGGUAUUGCACCUACCGAAGACUAUCAAACUCCGAAUGCCGUCAUCUUAUACUUGGGAGUCAGACUGUGGGUGAUAAGAUUCAUAGUCGAAAGGGCAACAGCCCAGAUCGUCAGCUAAGGUCCCUAAAUGUAAGUUAAGUGGUAAAGGAUGUGGGAUUGCACAGACAACCAGGAUGUUGGCUUAGAAGCAGCCACUCAUUCAAAGAGUGCGUAAUAGCUCACUGGUCGAGUGAUCCUGCGCCGAAGAUUUCCGGGGCUAAAACUU